AUUGGCCACUGCCUGCCAAUGUCAUUAAUCACUUGCUAAUGUGGUGAGUGUGCUUAAACUAGUAUCAAAAAUAAAAAUGAGACAAUGACUGAUUGGAAAAGCAUUUUCUUUAUCCCUUAUGAGCCACAUAGAAGAAAAUCUCCUGAAUAAUUUAUCAGCCAGCUAAUGACUGAAUACAGCUUUUAUAAUGCUGACGAAAUGGUGCUAAAUUCAUCCCUGAUAUACUCUAUGGAAUUACACCGGGGAGCAAUUUGGCACAGUCAAUAAAUUGCAGACAUUUUUAACUGUUUCAGUAUCAAAGGAGCAGUGAGUAGGUAGCAGCAAUAGCUAGUGUCUGAAGAAACCUUCAUAUUAUUUGAAAUGAGUGGGAUUUUUUAUUUCCUCAUUUGUAAUGUUAGUUCUAAAAACAAUACAAUUAGAAAAACUAAUGAAGACUCUCAUUUAGAAAACAUUGCAUGUAGCCCUUCAUUGAAGAUUAACUGUAGUCCCAGGAAAUAAUAACAAACAAGUCUAAAAAAAAAUACCUUACACAUUGAAAUACAGCUCUUUCCUGUUGAUUUAUCUUCUAAAAGUAAUUAUUUGUUGUCGUUUCCCUUUCAAGCACAGGGAAUGUAACUUGUCAUCUAUCAGAAGCUAUUCAUUAAAAGGAAUUAUUUUGGUGAUUAUAAACUUGCAAGAAAAGAUACCAAAACUUAAGUGAAAGGAAAAUGAACAAGCUAAACCUCUUCUUGUUCCUUAUCCCCUCAAGAUCUGGGUCCAAAUUUUGUGAAAAAGAUGUAUUUAAAAAAGAAAAAAAAAAAAAGGAACUAAAAGAUAAAAAUAAUUGAGUCAAUUCUCUUGCUGCUGAGUCAACUCAUUGCUUUAUCAAUGAAGGAAAAAGAUUUUUCAAGCAGGAUUUAGGGAGGAAGGUGUAGAUAUGGACAGCUCAGGAAAAGUGGCAAUGGCAAAGACAGCUCACUUUGGCUAACUGGGAACAGUGAGAAGUUCUAAUGACUGGACUUUUCUGUAACAGGCAUUGAGUGCAUAGUAAUUUUUAAUUUAAAAUUAAUUUCCUGGUAGUUUGUUCUUAAUAAAUACAAAAGUCACAGCAUGGGGGGAAAAAAGAGUGGCCAAACCUCAUCUUCUGAGGAAUUAGGAUGUUUCCACCCCUACCAUGUCACGCCACUGUGUCUUAAAGUGUUACCAUGUAUCCACUACAAAUUCUGGGAAUCCGCUGAGUGCUUUGGAAGAUGAUGGAUAUUUCUGCUGCAAACUUCCAUUGCCACUGUGCUUCUGCCACAAUUAUCAUCAUGCGCUAAACAUAAAUGCCAAGUUUCAUGUCAUAGUAAAACUGCACAUUUUCUGUGUUCAGACUGAGCGGGGCAAAACCGCUGUCGUGUAGCGAGUUCUGCAAGCACUUUGGAGCUGGCAUUUAUGGGAUCAGAAAUGACGCUUAGCACAUAAAUUCGGCGUGACACAGACAGCACGUCUGGCUCACCACGCAGUUGUUUUACAAAAGCUCCAAAUCCUCCAAAUUUACAAGGAUAGUAAAUUUCUAAAACAUACCAGUUACUAAACCGAAGAAUUGGACAUUUACAACUUGUGUUUCCCCACGGAUAUUCCCCGCCGAACAUAAAUCCCGACGUGCGUCACAGCUGCUCCCCUCGUAGGAGACUUUCCUCGCCUCAGCGAGCAGAGACAAAGCAACGGCAAAUGCUCCCGGGCCUUCGUGGCAUCCCUUCCAAAUGCCACGGCUGGGGUGUGACCGGAGCCACCCCUCGCUGCGUUCUGCUGCCCCUCGCUGCUCCCGUUCUGGGUGAAAAGUGCCGGCUUUCGGCGCCUCCGCGGCCUCGGCGCCUCAGGCGGCGCAGCGCUGCCCCCCGGCGGCCGCGCGGCCCCGCUCUGCCCUGAGGGCGGGCGCUGAGGGGCCUCAGGCGCCUCCGGCAAAGCGGGACAGAGACAGGGACCGGCGCUCACCUCCCCACGGGCUUCGCCCUGGGUCCCGUGGCCGUGUAUUGGAGAUCAGCUUGGGGGCGUUUAGAUGGCAGAUCCCAUCCUUCCUUUCCUUAUGAUUCACUGAAACUCAAAACACUGUAUGGAGUGGUCUGGAGGUGAAGAAAUAGGAAUGAAAAUCUCCUCAGGGAAAGGUACAUGCUUUCUGCUCUAGGACACUUGCAGAAGUUACUGAUCAGCAAAUGGUGCAUCAGCUAAUUCAAACCUGGAGAUAAAAUAAGCAAGGCAACAGUUUUUGUGAGUGUAAGAGAGAUGAAAUCAAACAGGCAUUGAGGAGGUUUCAACGACACUCAAACAGGUGGAACAAUGGCUGCAGCAAGCAGCCCAGUUCAAGACAAGGGACAAAGAUAAGCAGUGAUCUGUUGGUGAUGGGUGAGCUCUGGUGAAGUUGGUUUGAUGCCUAUUAGAAAUCUGCUAUUGGAGAGAUUUAAACAAAUAAGGAAACAAACUCUAAAAGCAGAGAUCUCUGCGAUGUGUUGAAACCCUCUCUGCAAAUGCCACAUUCCUCUUCCUGGAGCUGCAGUGCUCCCAGUGUAAUAGAUGACAAUGAAGGCAGAAGAGCAAGAAAGUCUUGAACUUCUGUACAGCACUGCUCUUCUCUGCUUUGUCCUCAUGCCAUUUCAGUGCUAGCAAGGCCAGUCCUCCUUCUGAAGAUGUUGGCAGAAUUUUUCUCCUCCCAUUUCUUCCAAUUUGAAUCUUCUCUGGAGACAAGAGGCAUAACUUCUGGAGGAAGGGAGAAAUGAAAACACAUAUUUGGAAAAUCCUUCACAGUAUUCAUGAAGUUUUUAAAGAGAAGACAAAGUAAUGAGAGACAAAAGGGUGAGAACCUGGUGUGGACUUGAAUAUAUUCCUGGGAGGAAUGUCCCAGUGGAUGCUGAAGUACUGCAUGAAAUAAAGGAUAUCUGCAAGUGAUUUGUUAUCUAGUAUGCAGGAUUGAGCUUUAUUCCACUCAGUGAUGUAUGUGUAAGGACACCUGUUCCAGGUAAUGUAAGAGCAGCUUGCUGAAGACCAAGGCAUUUUCCAGCCUGCAGAUAUCUGAACCUGUGUCCACCAGGAUCCGGCAAGCACAUCCUUGCAGCCACAUGUCAUAACAGUCCUCUUCCUCAGGGAUCUGCUGUGAUAAGGUGUGCUAAGCAAUGCACAAGUUUCCCCUUACCUAAAACAGCAAGAAAACAACUGGGAAAGGAAAGGUCUGUACUGCUCCAGAAGAGUAGCAGCAGCUCAUGUAUCUCCAGGGCCUUUUUCAAAUGUUGGCAUUUUAAGUAAAGAAUUUGUUCUUCCACAAUUAAUCCAAUCCUAUAAACAACCAGUAUCUAAAUCUGGUGGAUAAUUCUUAUUCUACAACACAGGAGAAUUCAGAAACACAGGAAAAAAGACAAAUUGGGUAAAAAGAUUAACCAUAAUGAUACUGUUCAGGGAGAAUGAAUGACUGUAACAUGGCCCGAAAAAUCCGAUACUGAAAAAAUGAGUUUAUUUUGUAUCACAGUGAUAUCCUCCACAAAGAAACUAUUUCCUGAUGUGGCAAUUAGUUACAGUGGAAUAAAGGUUGCGCAUCUAAA